UUUAUAUAUUAAAAGUGCCUAUGUAACGGCAUUUCUUGGUUUAAGAGAAUAUACUUAAAAAUAAAAGAAUAUUCUGUUAAAUUUAACGAUGUUAAUAGGUUUGAUCACUCGUUAACAAAUAAAUAAACCCAAUAAAUAAACCAAAAAAUUAAACAAUCUUUUUUUUUUAAAUUAAAAAAAAAAAUCAUCUUAACCACAUAUCUCUCUAACAAACCGGAUAUUCCCAAUUUUUAAAAUUAUUUUAUUAUUUUUAGUUUUCUCUAAAGAUUACUUGUUAAUAUCGUGCUUACCGAAGAUUGGGUUUCGACUCAUUAUCAUGUUACCUCUUGUAUAAAUUACACAUGCAAUCAGAAGACAAUGUCGUUUUUCACAGAUUCCUCACUUUUACUACCGUCAUUGGAGUAGUCCUAAAUAAUGUUCGGUCGAAAUAGAUUCCUCACUUUUCCUACAGUCAUUGGAGCAGUCCUGGAAGAAGAAGGAAAGCCAAGUACAUCACCAAGUCACAGGGUGUCAAGCAUUUUCAAGUCAAUUUACCUCUUUUCAGGUCAGUAUAUUAUUCUCAAAUUCACUGAUGUUGUGCCAUGUCUUCGGUUAGAAUAUUUUUGAACUUUUUGAUUAUAUAUGCUUGGUUUAGUUUAAUAUAUGCGCAUAUGUGUUGGUUUUUAUAAAUUAAUUGCUGCUACAUGUAUAUGUAGUUUUUCUGGUAUGUUAUUUAACUUUUUAUCCUGGUAUUUGAAGUUUUAUUACUUAAUAAUUAAUUAGACAAAAUUUAUCUGUUAUAUGAAACUUUUUCAUGAAUCAAAGUAUAUAUAUUUCAAAUUAUUAGUACAUUCCAUAGAGUAACUUUUAUAUGCAUGCAUUUUUACACUUAUCACAAGAAGCUGCAUUAUGUAUAAAACAUAUUAAUCAACUGAUCCUUUUUGCCUCGUACUGUUUUUAUUUUCUUUUCAUUUAAUUGGCUAACUCAAGUCUCAAGCUUCAUGCCAUCUCAUUUAACACACACAUAUGUAUAACCAAGUAAAUAUUUGAAAAACAAAAAACACACAAAAGAGGAAUUAAAGCGAUAAAAACAAGAGAUAUAAAUAGAUACUAAUAGAAUAUUUAUAUGCAUAAAACAUAUAGGCAUUCAAAAGCUACUACCUGGUAAUUAAUUAAUUAAUUACUAAUUAAUAACAAUAACUUGUUGCUUAAUUAGAAAGUAAAAUAAAGCUUGAAAUUCUAAAGAUAUAAUUAAUAAGCUAUAUCUAUUUGUAUUUGGUAUUUUCUUCCUUUGUGCUCUCUCUUUAAUUAUAAUGUCCAAUCUAUGAUUACAUGACUUUUGAGUACAAUAAUUAAGUGUGUAAGUGUGUAGUUACUUGGAGAUAUCUCAAUUGAUUGGGUGUGUGAAUGUGUGGGAGAUGUAUAGCGGGAUGGGUUGAAAUCCCCAUUAUAAUAUUUGAAUAACAAUGUGUAUAUUAUAGGUUUAUAUACACAAUUAUGACAUUCUUAACAAUUAGUUAUAUAAAACAUAUCGUUUAUAAAAUAAUUUACAAUUAGUUACUGAAUUCUUAAACAAAAACCACUAGAACUUAUAUAAAACUAAUAUUUACGUGGCUCGCCACGUAACUCUCAUCUAGUAUAUAUAUAUAUA